UACAGAGGUCUCAAGCGUUGUUCGGAUUCAUUGGGCGUAAAGGGUGCGUAGGCGGCCAGCACAAGUCAGUUGUGAAAUCUCCGGGCUUAACUCGGAAAGGUCAACUGAUACUGUGCGGCUAGAGUGCAGAAGGGGCAACUGGAAUUCUCGGUGUAGCGGUGAAAUGCGUAGAUAUCGAGAGGAACACCUGCGGCGAAGGCGGGUUGCUGGGCUGACACUGACGCUGAUGCGCGAAAGCCAGGGGAGCGAACGGG
rnacentral:rRNA from 1 species